ACGAACGCUGGCGGCGUGCCUAACACAUGCAAGUCGUACGCUUGUAAAAGCGUGGCGAACGGGUGAGUAAUAGCAAGGAACGUGCCUUAUCUCGGGAAAUACCCCCGCGAAAGCGGGGCUAAUGUCCCAUAGUUCUCGCAAGAGUAAAGCUCCGGCGGGAUAAGAUCGGCCUUGUUCCUAUCAGCUAGUUGGUAAGGUAACGGCUUACCAAGGCUAUGACGGGUAGGGGGUCUGAGAGGAUGGCCCCCCACAUGGGGACUGAGACACGGCCCUAACAUCUACGGAUGGCAGCAGUUGGGAAUAUUGCACAAUGGGCGACAGCCUGAUGCAGCGACGCCGCGUGAAGGAAGAAGACCUUCGGGUUGUAAACUUCUUUUUUGUGGGACGAUUGUGACGGUACCAUAAGAAUAAGGACCUGCUAACUACGU
rnacentral:rRNA from 1 species